rnacentral:lncRNA from 1 species
CCUUAAUGUAUUCUCAGAUUUGGCGUUAUUCAAUAUAUUCUCUAGAUCAUAUCAGUGGUCAAACCUACCGAUGGGGAUCUUUCCAUGUCUUGAUUUGGACAAUGGUUGUUUUAUUUCGUUGGACACUUAAAUUCGUGGAUAAAGUCAUCCACGAAAACCACGAAAAUUGGUACCCCACGAAUAAAAGUACUUUCACAGUACUU